CUUGGUCAUUUAGAGGAAGUAAAAGUCGUAACAAGGUCUCCGUAGGUGAACCUGCGGAGGGAUCAUUACACAAAUAUGAAGGCGGGCUGGAACCUCUCGGGGUUACAGCCUUGCUGAAUUAUUCACCCUUGUCUUUUGCGUACUUCUUGUUUCCUUGGUGGGUUCGCCCACCACUAGGACAAACAUAAACCUUUUGUAAUUGCAAUCAGCGUCAGUAACAAAUUAAUAAUUACAACUUUCAACAACGGAUCUCUUGGUUCUGGCAUCGAUGAAGAACGCAGCGAAAUGCGAUAAGUAGUGUGAAUUGCAGAAUUCAGUGAAUCAUCGAAUCUUUGAACGCACAUUGCGCCCCCUGGUAUUCCGGGGGGCAUGCCUGUUCGAGCGUCAUUUCACCACUCAAGCCUCGCUUGGUAUUGGGCAUCGCGGUCCGCCGCGUGCCUCAAAUCGACCGGCUGGGUCUUCUGUCCCCUAAGCGUUGUGGAAACUAUUCGCUAAAGGGUGUUCGGGAGGCUACGCCGUAAAACAACCCCAUUUCUAAGGUUGACCUCGGAUCAGGUAGGGAUACCCGCUGAACUUAAGCAUAUCAAUAAGCGGAGGA
rnacentral:rRNA from 1 species